CGCCGCGUGAGUGAUGAAGGUUUUCGGAUCGUAAAGCUCUGUUGUUAGGGAAGAACAAGUGCCGUUCAAAUAGGGCGGCACCUUGACGGUACCUAACCAGAAAGCCACGGCUAACUACGUGCCAGCAGCCGCGGUAAUACGUAGGUGGCAAGCGUUGUCCGGAAUUAUUGGGCGUAAAGGGCUCGCAGGCGGUUUCUUAAGUCUGAUGUGAAAGCCCCCGGCUCAACCGGGGAGGGUCAUUGGAAACUGGGGAACUUGAGUGCAGAAGAGGAGAGUGGAAUUCCACGUGUAGCGGUGAAAUGCGUAGAGAUGUGGAGGAACACCAGUGGCGAAGGCGACUCUCUGGUC
rnacentral:rRNA from 1 species